UACGUAGGGCGCAAGCGUUGUCCGGAUUUACUGGGCGUAAAGGGCGUGCAGGCGGUUUGUUAAGUGCAGGGUGAAAGCUCCCGGCUCAACUGGGAGAGGUCCUUGCAUACUGGCGAACUCGAGGGAGGCAGAGGAAAGUGGAAUUCCCGGUGUAGUGGUGAUAUGCGUAGAUAUCGGGAGGAACACCUGUGGCGAAGGCGGCUUUCUGGGCCUUACCUGACGCUGAGACGCGAAAGCGUGGGGAGCGAACCGG
rnacentral:rRNA from 1 species